UUUCUGUUUGCAUUGCGUUUGCGGCACUCUCUUCUUCUUCUUCUUCUUCUUCUUCAUGUUUGUUUUAUCUCUCUCAAUUUCGAAGAGACCAUCGACAACGCAGAGUUAGAAGAGAUGGGUAGAACAAAAUCAUUCAAGGACGAGCUUACAUUCGAGCAAAGGGUGCAAGAAUCGCGGGAUGUUCAGGCCAAAUACCCUGAUCGAGUUCCGGUGAUUGUUGAAAAGUAUGCCAAGUGCGACCUUCCUCAGAUGGAAAAGAGAAGGUGCUGUGGAGAUGCGCUGGGUUGAUACGUACUUUCCAUUUACCAAUCCAUCAUUUGAACUUGAGAUUUUCUUUCAGGCAUUGAUUCCAAUCAUUUAAUGGGUUAGAACUUUGAAUUUUGAUCUGCUUUUAUCUGUCUCAGGAAAAGUGGUUGGAGGUUUUGGGUUGCGGAGUAACAGAACAAGAAAUAUUGAAGAGAAGUGGGAAAACAGAAUGUUGCUUGGGCUUUCGGACUUGGAUUGGAGCGGCUGGCAAUGGUUCUAUUUGACAUCCCUGAUAUUCGCCUUUUCUGGUCAACUGAUGACAUCCCUGACUUGGGCUCUCAGUUUUUGAAGGGGCAGCUGGGAGUCAAGUUCAAGCCAUAUUCAAAGUAUCCUCCGUGUUACAAAGAUGUUAGUUUUUGGAUCAAGUGAAUCUUUCACUGAAAACAAUUUAUGUGAAGUUGUCAGAGAGGUUGCUGGAGAUCUUGCUAAGGAGGUGCAAUUGAUAGACAAUUUCACAAACAAGAAAGGAAUGACCAGUCACUGUUACAGGAUUGCUUAUAUAGGUCUACGGAACGAUCACUUACAGACGAGGAAGUCAAUAAAUUGCAGGGUACUGUAAGAGAGUUGGUUGAGAGCAAGUUGAAGGCUAUCUUGAGAUGAGAGUUCCUGGUGUAGUAGCCUAUUAGCUCAAAAUUAUUUAAAUUCUGAACUUCAUUUAUAGGUGUUGAAUUUUUGCUCAACCAUGUAAAAAUCAUGUCUUGUUUCUUACCAACUGUAUUUGAGCCUGCCUAAUACACAUGACUUGAAAAUAAAACUAAAACCUUUUUGGGAGACAAAAUGUACUCAAAGGGUUACACCACAAAAAUUGUUUACCAAGUGCUAA